CGAGUAGGAGCUAGCUUCCAGAUUUCACCUUCUUUCUUCUUAUGAUCUGAUUCUCAUUAUGAGUAAGGGCUUCAUCUCACUUCAUUCUUAUAUCACUGCAAGAUUUUCACUGUAGAUCUCAAGCUCCAAUGGUGCAAUGAAAUAUUUGCUGCCUGGAAAAGCCCUUCCAGAUUUGAACAAAAAAGUGAUCAGAGUACCAACUAGAAAUUAUUAGAAACCUCAGUAUAAAGGUGGAAGAAUUCAUCAGGCAAAUUGGAAAGACAGAAUGAGGUGGGAACACAGAAGACUAGAAACAAAGAAAAAUGAGAAUAAUAUAGGAAUAUAUGAUCUAAGCUUUACAAUGAAA